rnacentral:rRNA from 1 species
UACGGAGGGUGCAAGCGUUGUCCGGAAUCAUUGGGUGUAAAGGGUACGCAGGCGGGCGUCUGCGUCCGGGAUGAAAUCCUACCGCUUAACGGUAGAAGGGCCUCGGAUACGAGACGUCUUGAGACCAGCAGAGGCUGGCGGAAUUCUUGGUGUAGCGGGAAAUGCAUAGAUAUCACGAAGAACACCAGUGGCGAAAGCGGCCGGCUGGGCUGGAUCCGACGCUGAGGUACGAAAGCGUGGGGAGCGAACAGG